rnacentral:tRNA from 1 species
GUGGAUAUAGCUCAGUGGUAGAGUGCAUGCUUAGCAUGAGAGAGAUCCUGGGUUCAAUUCCCAGUACCAUCA